UAACAUACAGAUGUGUCAAAACAAUUUGAGACUCUGCCUUAUUUAAUCAUUGUAUUAUCAUCAUCAUAGCAACCAAAAAGUAUCAUAUUUGAGCAACCAUAUGAUAUUGCAAAUUUACAAUAGAGUAACUGCACAAACAAAGAAGCUAUGGACAGUGUUAAGAAAUUAGUGCGUUAUAAGCCAAACUUUAAAAACUUAACCAUUGAAUUGUUUUGGAAAAUAAUUUUUAAAUAAUGUUUUAAUUUUUUUGUUUCCUAGGUGUUUGUUCUAUGAUGGUGAGAUUCAGAUUUAAUCUCAGGUUAGGCCUAAUUUUGAUUUGCUACUUGCUCAUUUGACAUUUUCCAAAAUAUAAAUUCAUCAUAUCCUUUGUACGGAAUCAAAAAAAUUGGAAAUCUGGCCUGGAGAAACAACAGUGGUGACUUUGAGAAGAUGAUAAGCUUUCCUUACUCUCACCUAUUCCAUGUCUCACCCUACACUGCCAUUGAGAAAUGUGAGAAGAGAAGAGUGGCAAGGAAACAAUAGCAUGUGAAAAGACUUUACGAGACUUUUGAAUAAGUUCUACAAAUGCUGAAAGCACCUGAAGAGAUACUAAGCUUUAAUAGUUGAAAUUCCUUUGAAAGCAUAGUCUGCUAAAUUCCACUAUGACAUUUUUCACUUCAUUUAUAUGAUAUCAGGUGAGCUAAAUAUUAAUUGCAAGAAAAAAACUGCUUUCCAGUAAGUUUCAGGUAAGGGAUUUUUUGUUAUUGUAAAAUUCUAGAGCAUAUUUUUGUUUUCUAAACAGUCACUCUUUAAAUUCUGUAUCUCCAGGGAACUGUUUUCUAGUGAUUCAGUGUAUUGAUGAUCCGCCUGUAUCUGCCACAGUCUGUAUUUCUUCACAGAUAGAUGAAGUAUGUUCUUCUCUUUAGUGCUGUGUAUCCUUUAAGAAGAGAAGAGGGGAGAGUAUUCUGGGGCAUUAAACAGAAGCUGUUCUCCCUUUAAACACUUAAUAUAAGUGCAUUAUGUCUUUAACCUUUGUGACCCACAGUAUUUUAUUAGUACUAAAACUGCACUUGAUACAUGUGUUUUAUUUUUAAUUUUCAUUUUGUUUGCCCAACAUUAUGCUAAACUUAAUUUAGUUUACAUCAGCAACAUUUCUAGAUGUGGCUCUCUUUGGCUGCCUUUCAGUCUCAUGGG
rnacentral:lncRNA from 1 species